rnacentral:rRNA from 1 species
UACAGAGGGGGCAAGCGUUAUCCGGAAUUAUUGGGCGUAAAGAGCUCGUAGGCGGUUUGUCGCGUCUGCCGUGAAAGUCCGGGGCUCAACUCCGGAUCUGCGGUGGGUACGGGCAGACUAGAGUGAUGUAGGGGAGACUGGAAUUCCUGGUGUAGCGGUGAAAUGCGCAGAUAUCAGGAGGAACACCGAUGGCGAAGGCAGGUCUCUGGGCAUUAACUGACGCUGAGGAGCGAAAGCGUGGGGAGCGAACAGG